rnacentral:lncRNA from 1 species
GAGUGGCUCUGUAUGUUAAAGAAAAUGUAGACUCAAAUGAAGUAAAAAUCUUAAAUGAAACCGCAUGUUCCAUAGAAUCUCUAUGGAUAGUAAUUCCGUGCUGUAAUAAGAAUAUAACAAUAGGGCUCUGUUAUCAAGCACCUAUCAAAGAUAAUGAUAGUGAGGAUGAAAUGCGAAGGCAGAUUAGAGAGGCUAUCAAAAUAAAGAACUCCAUAAUAAUGGGAGAUUUCGGUUAUCCCCACAUUGACUGGGUACAUGUCACCUCAGGACAAAAUGCAGAGACAAAAUUUCUGGAUACUUUAAAUGACUGCUUCAUGGAGCAGCUGGUACAAGAACCCACAAGGGGAGAAGCAACUCUCAGUUUAGUCCUGAGUGGAGCGAAGGAUCUAGUCCGUGAGGGUUUCCAGUUUCCAAACCUCAUAUAAUCUCCCAGCUGGAACAAGGAGAAGAGCCAUGGGUCCCAGACCUCCAGGGUUCAGAGGAAAGAUGGAUCCUGAGAGCUCCCUGCACAGGUCAGGAAACAUUAAACCAACUCAGAAUCUGUAAGUGCCUGAAAGAAACAUCUGGGAUGCCCUACAGAGUCCUUGGGAAGUCUCUCAGUUCAUUAUUGUCCCUAGCAGGGGUCGUAUCCUCAGGGUAAACAUAGCUCAUGGCUUCCUGUAGAUCCUAGCAGACACCAGGCCCUGGCUUCCUUCCUUCCCCCUUUGAAUUUGGAUGGGAUGUGAAGGCCCAAUUGAUCCCCUCCUCUCUCCUAUUUAGGGGAAGAGUUUGGAGGAGUUGAGUUCUUGUUUUUAUUUGACCUGUCUCCAGGACUUGUAUUGGUUUGGCCUUCCCCUUUCCAUCCCUGUUUGAGGUUUCUGUCUCUAUCACAGCAGGUGAUGCAGUGAUAGGUGAGAAAGAGGAGCAGAAUUUUCAGAAGGAAAAUGUCGAGCAAGUGGAUAAACUCAGAGCAUUUUCGCAAAGAUCGAAAAGGAAUGUGUCCAGGAGUCAUGAGCAGGGAAACUCCUUUGAGAUUCAGCACAGACCAGAAGGAGAGCAGG